rnacentral:rRNA from 1 species
GACGAACGCUGGCGGCGUGCUUAACACAUGCAAGUCGAGCGGUAAGGCCCCUUCGGGGGUACACGAGCGGCGAACGGGUGAGUAACACGUGGGUGACCUGCCCUCAGCUCUGGGAUAAGCCUGGGAAACUGGGUCUAAUACCGGAUAUGACUCCAUGACGCAUGUCGUGGGGUGGAAAGCCUUGUGCGGCUGGGGAUGGGCCCGCGGCCUAUCAGCUUGUUGGUGGGGUGANGGCCUACCAAGGCGACGACGGGUAGCCGGCCUGAGAGGGCGACCGGCCACACUGGGACUGAGACACGGCCCAGACUCCUACGGGAGGCAGCAGUGGGGAAUAUUGGACAAGUGGGGGAAACCCUGAUCCAGCAAUGCCGCGUGAGUGAAGAAGGCCGUUUAGGGUUGUAAAGCUCGUUUCGGCGGGGACGAGUGGUGACGGUACCCGCAGAAGAACGCCCCGG